UGUUCCACCCUAGUUAUUACCACAUAUGUAUGGCAUCAUUGGCUGUGGUCACAGAAACAUCGGCACCGGCAAGAUGGCCGACCACUAAUCUGCUGAUGGAGAACGUGGCUGCAGAGGCCCAGAGCUCACCCAGCACACUCCACACGUGCUUUACAGUUGUGCCUUAACAAGAAGUGUUGAUGAGAUCUGAAAGAACACCAUCCAAGUCACCUGAUGUAUCACAAAAAAAUGGACACCGUUUCUCAGAGACGGCAUUUGAGGUGAAGGUCUUCCUCUCGUGGACCAAGAAGAUCAUUCGGUCCAGACCAAGACGUUCUGUUCCUUUCCCAGAGAUGGUGUUAGAGGUCAAGGUCUUCCGCUCAUGAACGGAGUAGAGAGUUCUUCAGCUCCUGGUUCAAAUCAAGGAUACAAUUCAUGUUGCCACUUCGUGUGCUGGAACAAGUUAUGAAGUGAACCCGGCAAGCACAGAACGAGUUUGAAGUUUUAGAGAAUGGCCUCGAGGACAAGAACGAUGAAGCAGCAAACUGAGUAAACAACUGAAGAGGUUAUGGGGUGUUGAUGCUGCAGAUCCGGUCAAGACGUCUAUGGCUGCAACUAUAAUGGCCAAAAUGAGCAUCAGAGGAAAAAGUGGAAAGGUUGUCUUCAUGAAGAUGCAACUGUACAAGAUACUGUUCUAUGUGACACUGUCUUCAAGUCAUUUAACACAACAACCAAACUUGACGAAAGAAAUGGGGAAGAUUCCCUGCUCCCCUGUUCAGUGUUGCCCAGUUCGCUAUUUUUCGUCAUAAAACUUUGAAUGUUUCAGCUCAGUUUUGUGCAGCUUUUACAAAAUCAUACUGUCUAUUGUCAACUGCUCAAAUCUAAUAUGUCAUUCCAAAUAAUAAAUUGAUUUUUGUUUGACAAGAAAAUAUUAUCUAAAUUUUGGUACAUUUUUAAGUUUUAAGUGCUUCAAAAGAUAAAGGCUUGAAAGUACAGAUUCCUUCAGUUACUAAAAGCAGAACCUAGAAGAUUUCCCUUCUAGGUGCAAUGUUGCCCAAUGUUUGGGCCAUUUUUUAUCAUUAUAGUCUUGGAUAAUAAAGCAGUUUCUAACUUCAUGAAAUGUCUUUUUUAUCUCCCUGGUCUGGGAUUGGAUUCUUCCUUGCUGAUUGUGUGUUGUGAACAUAAUGUGUAAAUGAAAUUAUUUAUCAGACAAAA